rnacentral:tRNA from 1 species
UCCCUGGUGGCUCAGUGGUAAAGAACCUGCUUGCUAACGCAGGAGACGCAGGUUUGAUCCCUGAUCUGGGAA